GACGAACGCUGGCGGCGUGCCUAACACAUGCAAGUCGAACGGAAAGGCCCUGCUUUUGUGGGGUACUCGAUUGCCGAACGCGUGAGUAACACGUGAGUAACCUGCCCUUGUCUUUCGGAUAACUUCACGAAACUGGGGCUAAUACCCGAUAGGAGCUCCUGCUGCGUGUGGGGGGUUGGAAAGUUUCGGCGGUUGGGGAUGGACUGGCGGCUUAGCAGCUGGUUGGUGGGGUAGUGGCUGACCAAGGGUUCGACGGGUAGCCGGCAUGAGAGGGUGGCCGGCGACAUGGGGACUGAGAGAGGGACCAGACUCCUACGGGGGGCAGCGGGGGGGAAUAUGGCACAAUGGGCGGAAGCCUGAUGCAGAAGCGCCGGGUGCGGGAUGACGGCCUUCGGGUUGUAAACCGCUUUCGCCUGUGACGAAGCGGGAGUGACGGUAAUGGGUAAAGAAGCACCGGCUAACUACGUG
rnacentral:rRNA from 1 species